UACGGGGGGGGGCAAGCGUUGUUCGGAAUUACUGGGCGUAAAGGGCUCGUAGGUGGCCAACUAAGUCAGACGUGAAAUCCCUCAGCUUAACUGGGGAACUGCGUCUGAUACUGGAUGGCUUGAGUUUGGGAGAGGGAUGCGGAAUUCCAGGUGUAGCGGUGAAAUGCGUAGAUAUCUGGAGGAACACCGGUGGCGAAGGCGGCAUCCUGGACCAACACUGACACUGAGGAGCGAAAGCCAGGGGAGCAAACGGG
rnacentral:rRNA from 1 species